UACUACAUAUAUAUUUAUGAUUCAAUAUCAAUCAAAACGUAUAAAAUGUUAUGGAUUAUUGGGUAUGUUGAAAAGUAAUGUAACUAUGUAUACGUAUAAUGUAUAUGUAUAAAACUUCUAGUGAAACGACAUAAUUAACGUGUUCCAACAUUUGAGUACUAAACAUCAACGAGCAUAAAGCUCGCUGAGAAAAUUACUGUACUAAAGCCGUUAUGUCGGAGGAAAUAAGUCGAAUGAAUAAAUCGUUGUCUAUCAAAAAAAUAUCGCGUCUAAUCUCAGAAAUAAUUAUACUUAAAUCUUAGAAGGUCAUACAAAAUAUACUGCAUAAUGUAUACGAUUAACAAUCUAAUUAUCUAUAUCAAUUUGAAUAUUUCUCUAAAACAUCUGUUUUGAGUCGUGUUUUUUGUUUAAAUCGAAACUGGUCUUGUUUAAUAUGACAGUAUACAAAGAAUUCUUCUCUCGGUAACACGUGUGCUUGAACUUUCAACAUGAAGAUCUUUCAACUGGAGACCGUGUUUCUGUUCAUUCUACUUCUUUUAGGAGUUCAGGCCAUUGACCGAACUGGGGUUUUAAAUCCAGACGGAAAAAAUCAAUGUCCGAUUAACACGACACCAGUGCGAAAUGGCGGCAAAAUAACAUGUUUACCAACCAAUAAAAAGAUAAUAACACAUUA